UACGAAGGGGGCUAGCGUUGUUCGGAAUUACUGGGCGUAAAGCGCGCGCAGGCGGUUCUUCAAGUCAGAGGUGAAAGCCCAGAGCUCAACUCUGGAAUGGCCUUUGAGACUAGAGAACUUGGGUACGGGAGAGGUGAGUGGAAUUCCGAGUGUAGAGGUGAAAUUCGUAGAUAUUGGGAAGAACACCGGUGGCGAAGGCGGCGAGCUGGUCCAUUACUGACGCUGAGGCGCGACAGCGUGGGGAGCAAACAGG
rnacentral:rRNA from 1 species